CCUACGGGAGGCAGCAGUGGGGAAUUUUGGACAAUGGGCGCAAGCCUGAUCCAGCCAUUCCGCGUGAGUGAAGAAGGCCUUCGGGUUGUAAAGCUCUUUCGCAAGGGAAGAAAACUUACAUUCUAAUAAAGUGUGAGGCUGACGGUACCUUGAUAAGAAGCACCGGCUAACUACGUGCCAGCAGCCGCGGUAAUACGUAGGGUGCGAGCGUUAAUCGGAAUUACUGGGCGUAAAGCGUGCGCAGGCGGUUUUGUAAGUCAGAUGUGAAAUCCCCGGGCUCAACCUGGGAACUGCGUUUGAAACUACAAGGCUAGAGUGUAGCAGAGGGGGGUAGAAUUCCACGUGUAGCAGUGAAAUGCGUAGAGAUGUGGAGGAAUACCAAUGGCGAAGGCAGCCCCCUGGGUUAACACUGACGCUCAUGCACGAAAGCGUGGGGAGCAAACAGGAUUAGAUACCCUGGUAGUCCACGCCCUAAACGAUGUCUACUAGUUGUUGGGAGAGUAAAAUCUCUUAGUAACGCAGCUAACGCGUGAAGUAGACCGCCUGGGGAUACGGUCGCAAGAUUAAAACUUAAAGGAAUUGACGGNGNGAGAGNGACGAGACGACGAGAGGAGAG
rnacentral:rRNA from 1 species